UUUAUAUGCGGAGAACAGGGAUUAUAAACAAUCCUGGUGGGAGAAUCUGGUUGUUUGGAGGGUCACAGGUGAACUUUGUUAUUUGCCACCCAUCCCCAUCACCCCUCCCAGAUCAUCCAGAUUUCACCGGUUCAGAUGGCUUGCGGUGCCCUAAGAUGUGCUAUACCGAUUGGGAGAGGCAAAGUGGGUGAGGGGUCUUUCCAGCUUUUCUUCAGAAUGUGGUGACUAUUCUUCCAGACACCGAGGAGUGGUCCUGGCUCCCUCCAGAGAUUAUCAGGGCUGCUUUCGAAUCAGCCAGAGAACUUGAUGCAAAGUACUACAAGGUGCUCCCUCCCUAGGUUGAGGACAUUGUCUCUUUACAGUGCUCCUAGCUUUUGCCAUGUCAGGAAUGAAGAACCAGCCCCAAACACGGAUCUCCAGAUGGUAAUCAAACUGUCAUCACUAAGUCAAAUGCUCCUAGGCUCCCAGAUCAAUUUUUCUAUCAGGAAACAGCUUGGCUAUAUAUGAUUGGGCAGAUCUAUCAGGUGAGAAAUCCCCUGUUCUUAGAAUAUUUCUCACCAGGGCUAGAGAUUAAUUAAAAAAUAAAAAGUAAAACACAAUCCUCAA